GUCCCGCUGUACCGAAAAGUCACCGUAGGGUGGCCUGCCGGCCGAAGGGUCGGAUAGGAGGCGGGGCGCGC
rnacentral:ncRNA from 1 species